rnacentral:rRNA from 1 species
GCCUAAAGCGUCCGUAGCCGGCUCUGUAAGUUUUCGGUUAAAUCCAUAUGCUCAACAUAUGGGCCGCCGGGAAUACUACAAAGCUAGGGAGUGGGAGAGGUAGACGGUACUCCGUAGGAAGGGGUAAAAUCCUUUGAUCUAUGGAUGGCCACCAGUGGCGAAGGCGGUCUACCAGAACACGUUCGACGGUGAGGGAUGAAAGCUGGGGGAGCAAACCGGAUUAGAUACCCGGGUAGUCCCAGCUGUAAACUAUGCAAACUCAGUGAUGCAUUGGCUUGUGGCCAGUGCAGUGCCGCAGAGAAGUCGUUAAGUUUGCCGCCUGGGAAGUACGUACGCAAGUAUGAAACUUAAAGGAAUUGGCGGGGGAGCACCACAAGGGGUGAAGCCUGCGGUUCAAUUGGAGUCAACGCCAGAAAUCUUACCCGGAGAGACAGCAGGAUGAAGGUCAAGUUGAAGCCUUUACCAGACAAGCUGAGAAGUGGUGCAUGGCCGUCGCCAGCUCGUGCCGUGAGGUGUCCUGUUAAGUCAGGUAACGAGCGAGAUCCUUGCCUCUAGUUGCCACCAUUACUCUCAGGAGUAGUGGGGCGAAUUAGCGGGACUGCCGUAGUUAAUACGGAGGAAGGAGAGGGCCACGGCAGGUCAGUAUGCCCCGAA